GUCAGGCGCUUGUGCUGCAUUCCUUUCUAAUUUCAACCCCCGUUCUUAUGCACCUGUUACUUUCAACGGAAUGAAGUAUCAUAUUCCAGCUUGGUCCGUCAGCAUUCUUCCAGACUGCAAAACCGCAGUGUUCAACACUGCAAAGGUAGGAGCUCCGACGUCGCAGAUUAAUAUGACUUGGGUUGGCGGAUUUUCCUGGGAGUCCUUCAGUGAGGAUACCCACUCACUGAGGGAUAAAUCAUUCUCAAAAGAUGGAUUGGUGGAGCAGAUAAGCAUGACAUGGGAUCGGACAGACUACCUGUGGUACACUACAUAUGUUAACAUAGACUCAAAUGAGCAAUUCUUGAAGAAUGGUCGAUACCCUUUCCUAACUGUGAUGUCGGCAGGUCAUUCUAUGCAUGUUUUCAUCAAUGGAGAACUGGCCGG